CCUACGGGAUGCAGCAGUGAGGAAUAUUGGUCAAUGGCCGGAAGGCUGAACCAGCCAUGCCGCGUGAAGGUCAGUGCCCUAUGGGCGUUAAACUUCUUUUGUGCGGGAGCAAUAAUGGUCACGUGUGGCCAGACGAGAGUACCGUAUGAAUAAGCAUCGGCUAACUCCGUGCCAGCAGCCGCGGUAAUACGGGGGAUGCAAGCGUUAUCCGGAUUUAUUGGGUUUAAAGGGUGCGUAGGCUGUGAGGUAAGUCAGCGGUGAAAUGCCCCCGCUCAACGGGGUGAAGUGCCAUUGAUACUGCCUGGCUGGAAUGCGGAUGCCGUAGGAGGAAUGUGUGGUGUAGCGGUGAAAUGCAUAGAUAUCACACAGAACACCGAUUGCGAAGGCAUCUCACGAAUCCGCGAUUGACGCUGAUGCACGAAAGCGUGGGUAUCAAACAGGAUUAGAUACCCCAGUAGUC
rnacentral:rRNA from 1 species